rnacentral:misc_RNA from 1 species
UAGUCGUAGGUGAACCUGCGUCUGGAUCAUUAACGUAACGCUUGUGGUUUAAGUCAUGGUGCAUGGUGGGUGCAGUAUUGAGCUUCCAGCGGCCUUUACUGCAUCUCUAACAAACGCUCUGUAUUAACUCGCAAAGACAGUCAUGUUAUCUCGCGAUUCAACCCUCAAUAUGCUCUAAGUUUAAACCACACUAUAAGGCUUAGACGCGACAGUGUUUGGCGCCUAUGAGAAACCAUCCACCCGGUUAGAUCUAGAGCCGAAAGGCGAUAGCUCUAGCCUAACGCAGAUGGGAGCCACAACCCCCUCAACCUUUCCCUCGGGAAAGGCACUUAAUGGUGAAUCUCUUGGCUAAU